rnacentral:ncRNA from 1 species
AAUAAAUUUUUUAUGAUUUAUAAAGUUUAAUUUAAAUUUGUUUUACAUGUAAAUUUUAACAUUGAUUUUUAAUUAUUUUAAUAAUUUUUAAUUUUUUAUUCUAGCAGUAAUUAAUAUUAAAAAUUUAAGAAAUUAAGAUUUAGUAAUAUUUAUAUAUUAUUAACAAAUUUUGUGCCAGCAGUUGCGGUUAAACAAAAAAUGAUUUAAAUUUUAUUAGUAAAUAAUAAAUAUUAUUUAAAAAUAAAAUAUUUAAUUAUUAGGUGAAAUUUUAAUUAAAUUAAAAUUUUAUUUAAUUAUAUGAUUUAUUAAAUUUUUUUAAAAAACUAGAAUUAGAUACUCUAUUAUUAAAAAUUAAAUUAAAAUACUAAAAUAGUAUGUAAUUAUUUAUAAAAAUUUAAAUAAUUUGGCGGUAUUUUAGUUCAUUUAGAGGAAUCUGUUUAUUAAUUGAUAAUCCACGAAUAAAUUUACUUAAUUUUAUUUAUUUUGUAUAUCGUUAUUAUAAAAAUAUUUUUUAAGGGGAAUAAUAUUUAAAAAUUUAAAAAUUAAAUUAAUUUAAAUCAAGAUGCAGAUUAUAAUUAAGAAUAAAAUGGAUUACAAUAAAAAUAAUUAAAUGGAUAAUAUGUUUUAAUAUAUAUUUAAAAGUGGAUUUAAAUGUAAUUUUAUUUAAUUUAUUAAAAUGAUUAAAAAUUGAAAUAUGUACAUAUUGCCCGUCGCUUUCAUUAAUAAAUUGGAAUAAGUCGUAACAAAGUAGAGGUACUGGAAAGUGUUUCUAGAAAGAA